rnacentral:rRNA from 2 species
CUUGCUGGGUGGAUUAGUGGCGAACGGGUGAGCAACACGUGAGUAACCUGCCCCUGACUCUGGGAUAAGCGUUGGAAACGACGUCUAAUACUGGAUAUGAUCACUGGCCGCAUGGUCUGGUGGUGGAAAGAUUUUUUGGUUGGGGAUGGACUCGCGGCCUAUCAGCUUGUUGGUGAGGUAAUGGCUCACCAAGGCGACGACGGGUAGCCGGCCUGAGAGGGUGACCGGCCACACUGGGACUGAGACACGGCCCAGACUCCUACGGGAGGCAGCAGUGGGGAAUAUUGCACAAUGGGCGAAAGCCUGAUGCAGCAACGCCGCGUGAGGGAUGACGGCCUUCGGGUUGUAAACCUCUUUUAGUAGGGAAGAAGCGAAAGUGACGGUACCUGCAGAAAAAGCACCGGCUAACUACGUGCCAGCAGCCGCGGUAAUACGUAGGGUGCAAGCGUUGUCCGGAAUUAUUGGGCGUAAAGAGCUCGUAGGCGGUUUGUCGCGUCUGCUGUGAAAUCCCGAGGCUCAACCUCGGGCUUGCAGUGGGUACGGGCAGACUAGAGUGCGGUAGGGGAGAUUGGAAUUCCUGGUGUAGCGGUGGAAUGCGCAGAUAUCAGGAGGAACACCGAUGGCGAAGGCAGAUCUCUGGGCCGUAACUGACGCUGAGGAGCGAAAGCAUGGGGAGCGAACAGGAUUAGAUACCCUGGUAGUCCAUGCCGUAAACGUUGGGCGCUAGAUGUAGGGACCUUUCCACGGUUUCUGUGUCGUAGCUAACGCAUUAAGCGCCCCGCCUGGGGAGUACGGCCGCAAGGCUAAAACUCAAAGGAAUUGACGGGGGCCCGCACAAGCGGCGGAGCAUGCGGAUUAAUUCGAUGCAACGCGAAGAACCUUACCAAGGCUUGACAUACACCGGAAACGGCCAGAGAUGGUCGCCCCCUUGUGGUCGGUGUACAGGUGGUGCAUGGUUGUCGUCAGCUCGUGUCGUGAGAUGUUGGGUUAAGUCCCGCAACGAGCGCAACCCUCGUUCUAUGUUGCCAGCGGGUUAUGCCGGGGACUCAUAGGAGACUGCCGGGGUCAACUCGGAGGAAGGUGGGGAUGACGUCAAAUCAUCAUGCCCCUUAUGUCUUGGGCUUCACGCAUGCUACAAUGGCCGGUACAAAGGGCUGCGAUACCGUAAGGUGGAGCGAAUCCCAAAAAGCCGGUCUCAGUUCGGAUUGAGGUCUGCAACUCGACCUCAUGAAGUCGGAGUCGCUAGUAAUCGCAGAUCAGCAACGCUGCGGUGAAUACGUUCCCGGGCCUUGUACACACCGCCCGUCAAGUCAUGAAAGUCGGUAACACCCGAAGCCG